rnacentral:rRNA from 1 species
GAUGAACGCUGGCGGCGUGCCUAAUACAUGCAAGUCGAGCGAAUGGAUUAAGAGCUUGCUCUUAUGAAGUUAGCGGCGGACGGGUGAGUAACACGUGAGUAACCUGCCCAUAAGACUGGGAUAACUCCGGGAAACCGGGGCUAAUACCGGAUAACAUUUUGAACCGCAUGGCUCGAAAUUGAAAGGCGGCUUCGGCUGUCACUUAUGGAUGGGCCCGCGUCGCAUUAGCUAGUUGGUGAGGUAACGGCUCACCAAGGCAACGAUGCGCAGCCGACCUGAGAGGGUGAUCGGCCACACUGGGACUGAGACACGGCCCAGACUCCUACGGGAGGCAGCAGUAGGGAAUCUUCCGCAAUGGACGAAAGUCUGACGGAGCAACGCCGCGUGAGUGAUGAAGGCUUUCGGGUCGUAAAACUCUGUUGUUAGGGAAGAACAAGUGCUAGUUGAAUAAGCUGGCACCUUGACGGUACCUAACCAGAAAGCCACGGCUAACUACGUGCCAGCCGCCGCAGUAA